AGCGGUAACAGAAAGUAGCUUGCUACUUUGCUGACGAGCGGCGGACGGGUGAGUAAUGCUUGGGAACAUGCCUUGAGGUGGGGGACAACAGUUGGAAACGACUGCUAAUACCGCAUAAUGUCUACGGACCAAAGGGGGCUUCGGCUCUCGCCUUUAGNNUNNCCCNANNUGGNNUUNGCUAGUUGGUGAGGUAAUGGCUCACCAAGGCAACGAUCCCUAGCUGGUUUGAGAGGAUGAUCAGCCACACUGGAACUGAGACACGGUCCAGACUCCUACGGGAGGCAGCAGUGGGGAAUAUUGCACAAUGGGCGAAAGCCUGAUGCAGCCAUGCCGCGUGUGUGAAGAAGGCCUUCGGGUUGUAAAGCACUUUCAGUCAGGAGGAAAGGGUGUGAGUUAAUACCUCACAUCUGUGACGUUACUGACAGAAGAAGCACCGGCUAACUCCGUGCCAGCAGCCGCGGUAAUACGGAGGGUGCGAGCGUUAAUCGGAAUUACUGGGCGUAAAGCGUACGCAGGCGGUUUGUUAAGCGAGAUGUGAAAGCCCCGGGCUCAACCUGGGAACUGCAUUUCGAACUGGCAAACUAGAGUGUGAUAGAGGGUGGUANAAUUUCAGGUGUAGCGGUGAAAUGCGUAGAGAUCUGAAGGAAUACCGAUGGCGAAGGCAGCCACCUGGGUCAACACUGACGCUCAUGUACGAAAGCGUGGGGAGCAAACGGGAUUAGAUACCCCGGUAGUCCACGCCGUAAACGAUGUCUAC
rnacentral:rRNA from 1 species